rnacentral:rRNA from 1 species
CCCUUAGAUGUCCUGGGCCGCACGCGCGCUACACUGACAUGUUCAACAAGCCUCCUAGUUCGACAGGAUUUGGGAAAUCUUUGAACGCAUGUCGUGAUAGGGAUAGAUCAUUGCAAUUAUUGAUCUUGAACGAGGAAUUCCUAGUAGACGUAGUUCAUCAGACUGCAUCGAUUACGUCCCUGCCCUUUGUACACACCGCCCGUCGCUCCUACCGAUUGAAUGCUCAGGUGAGCCAUUCGGACUUUCAUCAUGCUGGUUUCCAGUUUUGAUGAAGGAAAGUCUUGCGAACCUUAUCAUUUAGAGGAAGGAGAAGUCGUAACA